UACUUCACUCUCAAAGACCUAAAGCAAUUAGGGUUCCAAUUUUUCCAAUUCUCUCUCCUAAACAGCCGUUUCUUUUCUUCUUUCCCCCCUUUUCACAAAAUGCCAAUGUUUCUCAGUCAUGACAGACCUGCCAUUGCCAUUUUAGAACAAGAAGCUCUACAUCUCAUUUAAUUCUUCUGCAAGAUCAACGUUCAAAAUUCAAACGUCCCUUGGCUCGAUUUCAAGCCUUAAAAUCCCGCCCAAAUUAACCCUAGGAAACCCUAGCUGGUCCUCCUAUAAAUACUGAUGUUCAGGAAUAAUUUCGGAGGGACUUCUGGAACGACGGCUUCUCUGCCUUUUUGAAACAACUUACUCUUAAAAAAAUACUCUAAAAAAUCCUUGGUUGCACCGCCUCUGUUUCUCUUUGCUACAACAGAGGCAUUUUGUUUGCACUUUUCGAAGCUUGUAAAGUUCGUGGUUGCAAGCUCGAGCCCCUGUUCGGAGCCGGAGUCCAGUAGAUCUGCUUGACGCGCGCCCUAGUUCACUGCCCGCAAAAAGGUCAGUGGCUCUGAAAUAAUUCCUUUUCGUACUUUUAUUUAAGGAUCUGCAACGAGUAUUUGUUUUGUUUGAUGGCAUGAGCUAUAGGUUUUGGUUUAUAGAAAUUGUGAUUCAGACAUCCUUUGUGAGUAAAAGUCAUGAAGUUCGUAUGUUUCUUGUUUUAUAAAAUAGGAACCAAAUAAUGCGUAGACUAAUGUACUUAUAAGAAUAGAUUCAUGAGCUGAACACAUUAGUCUUUAUUUUGUAGCUUUUGCUUUAAAUGCCGUAAUCUACCUUCGUUUUUUAUUGUAGUUAAGUCUUAGAAUUAUUUUCUUUCUUACCCAGCAGGAUGCGUUAAGUUAAAAUAUUUUGCUUUCACACUUUUGAGUUUAAAAAUGUAGUUUCUGCACUCUCUUUGUGUUUCAAAAUCAUAUCUAGAAGCCAUGACUGAAGAUCUCUUUAAUAGACGCCAUUAGGUAUCGCACUUAUAAAAGUCACCAUUUUUAAAUGAAUAUUCUGUGUUAUGCACCAGAUUUCUUUGAAGUAUUUAUCCAUUCGACUAACAUUGACUUGGAGCCCAUAGUCAUAGUCUAGUUCACCAUUUUACACGUCUAGAUGCAGUAUAAAAUAAAAGAUGCUCUUUGCUGACACUUAGAAAUUUAUAACCUUUAAGCUUUACUUAAAUUGCAGAAAUCAUAUCUAUUAGGAUUUGAUUACUGCGUACGAAGCUUUCUCGUAGUCUAAGAACCAUGUCAAAAGGUUUAGAUAAUGCAUAAUUAACUUUAAAACAUAUCCCUUCCUUGAUACUUACAUAAAUCAGUAGCUGAGAUUGAGCUCAAAACGAGUUGUGACCUUUCUGUUGGCUACUACUCUAGCGGUUAACCAUAUACUUUGCUUUAAACACCAUGACCUUCCUUUUAAAAGCUUUUGCUUCGUUGGUUAAGUUAGAACAUUUCUUGUUGCUGUAUGUAUUAUAGAUACUCUUUUUCCAUGAGCAAAAUAUGACUGUAAGGUAUAUUAUUUCUCUAGUUUAAGUGCCAUACAAAGCAUGAGGUUAGAAUAUUAACUAUCUUAUUGUUUAGCUGGAUAUCCCGUUAGUUAGCAAGGAGUUCUUUUAGAAACUAUUCUUUAAUGAAAUCUAUGCAUAGACUAUCAUUAAAAUAAUACUAAUGGGAAUCUGUUAGUAUAACUUAAAGAAGAAGCAUUUAAAGAUUGAUUAUUACUUAUCCAUUCGGACCUUAAGAGAAGAGGAGCAUGUUCACAUCACUUUCAGGUGUGGUGCAUGUCCUUAUCUCUGAUUUCUUGAUACUGUUAAAGGGUAAUGUUUUAGAUUAUGGUUGGUAAAAUUAUUUACAAGUUGAUCUAAGAAAUAUUUGAAGUAUUACUCUUUGUUGCAACUAUUCUAUGCGAAUAACUUGCUCUAUUGCAGUUGUGGUACAACUCUUAUCUUAAUACUUGCAUCACCUUUAUGAAUUAUUUCCCUAAUCUCUUACUUCCUUUUUUCUUUGCAUGUCAUGCACACCGGAGAAACAAAAAAGUUUCAAUGCGGCCACCACCACGAUCACCUGGAGUCUAUUAGCAUCAUGUUAUUCUCGGAUUGCUGCAUAUAAAUUGCAGCCAGAUGAAAAUUCAUCUGAACAAUACUAUGUUUUGUUUCGUUAAAUGAUCUGAUCUAUUGUGUAAUCUGGGACCUAUUUAUAAUAUUUGGGAGUCGCCUUAUAAUUGAACUAAUUUGGGAUCACGUAGGAGUUGGAAGAAUUGUGAUUUCACUCAAAAUAUUCAAAGUGGUAUUUGGGCUAGUCUUUGAAUAUUCUUGAAUAAGAUUCUUCUUUUUGAAUUUAUUCCAAGUUUGAGUCUUGAAUCUGUCGAGUUUUUUGGAGUGAGUCAAAUCUGAAUUUGGGUCCAAAUUUUCUUAAGACAGUAAGUAUUUUCAAAAUGCCUUAACAGUUCAAUUUUUAUCAAGUUGAAGGAGAAGUUUAGAAGCAGGAGUUUGAUUACAUAUUUAUCUCACUUUCAUCGUUAAAUCAAUCUUGAGGAAAAAAAAAGAAUCACUUGAGUUUGACUGAUGAAUUUG
rnacentral:lncRNA from 1 species